rnacentral:misc_RNA from 1 species
GAUGAAGAACGCAGCGAAAUGCGAUAAGUAGUGUGAAUUGCAGAAUUCCGUGAAUCAUCGAAUCUUUGAACGCACAUUGCGCCUUCUGGUAUUCCGGAAGGCAUGCCUGUUCGAGAGUCAUCAACAACCGUUUCGAUCCCUUUCUUUCAGAAAUUACAAAGAGGAAAAGGGUUUGGUUAUGGUGGAGGAGGGAAAGGGAGCGUUUAGCCUGUAAAAAAAGAGGCUGUGUUCCGCCUCCCCCCCAAAAUUGUACAGGCGGUCGUGUGCGCCCACGCAUCGAGGUGUUGUAAAAGCUGCCACGGCACUUUUCACCUGUGCAGUGCGAGAUUGGCCAGCCGGUUUAAAAACCCCUCCAAACAAUCAAAGGUUGACCUCGGAUCAGGUAGGGAUACCCGCUGAACUUAAGCAUAUCAAUAAGCGGAGGA